rnacentral:sRNA from 1 species
UAGCAAGUUAAAAUAAGGCUAGUCCGUUAUCAACUUGAAAAAGUGGCACCGAGUCGGUGC